rnacentral:lncRNA from 1 species
AGAACUCUGCGUCAUUGGAACCCUAGUGUUGUUUUCCCUCAAUCGAACCGUAGUUGUGGUCGUACUGGAACUGUCAUUGUGUGGUAGGGGAACCCUCACAAUCGCAACGUGGUUGUUUUGGCGAUCUGUUUUGGCGAUCUUCAAUUGGUAAGUAAUGUUUGUUAAUUUGUAAAUACGUUAAUUUGUCAAAUCGAAAAACCCUAAUCAUGUAAUUUUUUUUUUGCUGGGCACGAAAUGAUGUGUGGUUUGGAUUAUGAAACCCUUUGGUGCAUUGUGUAGUGAAGAUACAGAGGGCUUUGAAAGGUAUGUUUCGUUUUAUGUGUUUUCUGUUUCAAUAUAUGGAAGUUUCGCACUUUGCCUUUUUUUUACUCCUCACUUUGUAGUAUACUCGAAGCCUUUUCAGAUUUUUAUUGUUGUCUCCUGCAAAAUUCUCCAAAAUCCUAAUUCAACGCUAACUUGUUCCUUUCCCUGUUCUCUUCUCUGCUUUUGGGUAUGUCAUUCGCCUCAACUUUAAUUUCUGCUAUUAGACGAUGUCUGCUUAUGCUUAUUUUGUCCGAACACUUUCAUUUAUCUUUUCUCUGAAAUGGGUUGCGUUUGAGUUGUCAUAAUUUCAAGUUAUUUAUAUUGUCUGAACACUUUCAUUUAAUGUUUGCUUAUGCUUACUUUGUCCGAACACUUUCAUAAGUUGAUUCUUUUCUUUGGAAUUUGAGCUUUGGAAUCUUGACCUUCUAAAACACCUCCUUCGAUCCUCAAACUCCCAUUAACAAAAUGGGUUCUUGUGUCUUGAAUUUUGAUUUGAUUUUGUGCUUGCUUUGCUAGUACUUGCCAAAUUACAUAGUAAUAAAAUUUUUUAGUUUAGUGUGACAUUUGAAUUGAGUGUUUAUGGCCUGAAAAAUGUCUAUCCAUAUUUUAUCCGUGCGGAAGAUUCAGACUUAAAACUUUGCUUAAAGGUUACCCAAAACAUUGCUUAAAGGAUCUAAGUUUAGUUUCACUUAAACCAACAACGUAUUGUUCAAGAAGUUUGUAUAAUUAUAAACCUUGUAAGAUGGUGUUUGUAAGGUAUGAGAAGCUAUUCUGCUCUGGUUUGAAUAAGUUGUAUUGUUUGCUAAAUUGGUAUCUUUGUUUGGGGUUUUACUUCGUUAGAUGGGGUCCAACUGUAAUUCAUUUUGUGUUGUUAUGUUAUAAUCUGGAAAAUUAUAUUAUUACAUUAUUGAGAAUAAGUUAUGGGUGGAUGGAUUAUCUUCUAUACGAUAAAUGAUGUUUGGGUUGGGAUAGGGUUGGAGAAAAGAUAAGGUUUCUCUGUUAUGUGUGUAAGGUUGAUGGAUGAAAAAGUGAAAAGGCUGAAAUGCAAAGAGAUAGAGUAUCUGGAGUGGAUUAGAUUGUGUAAUGGCUCGAAAUUGUUGGCCCUGUUUCAAUGAGUGUAGAAAUAAGGGCCUACUUGAUAAUCAUUGAUUAAAAAAAUCAUAGGAUUUGAGAGUUUGUCUAGAAUUGGUGUAUUUUUACAAUGUUUUCUAAUUUCAUUCCUCCUGCUAUUUUCCAAAUAGUAUGUUUUGAGCUUAGCUAAAAUUUUUAUAAUCUGAAGGGCUUUAGGUAAUAGGUUUGAACAUUUUUAGAUAUCAAAAGGAACUGUAUUGGUUUACAUAUUCUCUUCUUGUCUUCAACGAACUAUCUUUUUAGUUGGAUUGGUGGUUAAAUGAAAUAUAACUAUUGUAUUAAGUUGUACAUUCUAUCGUGAUGAUGACUGAUUGUUUUCUAUUGUUGUUAUCUUCCAAGAUUGCAUCCAUCUGCAGCUCUACUACAUUCCAUAAUCUAUUAUUUAGAAAAUUCGUUACUUGUAGGUAUGAUGGUUGAUGGUUCUGAUAUCAUUUAAUAAGAUAUUUUAUUAUAGUUUGUCAUAAAUAAUAAUUCUAUUACCUUUGCUAUCACUCGACUAAGGAACGUGAUUGGAUGUUUCACCACAAUGAGGACUGUAACUUGUCCUCAAGUUGAAACAAGGAACUUGAUUGGAAGUUUCACUGUUAAGCUUUUAUAUUCUGUUUCUGGCUAGUUUAAUGUAAAAGUGAACAUGCUAUUUGAAUUCCUCGUGUUGAUUUGGGGGAACAGAUCUAUUUUGUAUAAUAUUCCCUGUGACGUUUGUUGGGGAUAAAUGUUUCUCGCCUUAUAGGUUUCUGAUAUAUAUCUGAAUGAAUUUGUUGUCUUUUUUACAGGUUUCAUUGAAGAUAGAGCGAGAGAAGAAGAAGGAAUUAUAUUGUGUGUGUUUAACUGAACAUUAAAAUUUGUUGCGAAUUGUCUUUAUUUUAGUGAAAUGAAUUGAUAACUACGAAGCUUGUUUUCUAAUGUGUAUGCAACUUCUAGAUUUAAAUUCUGAGAAAUAUGUUGUUGUCUGCCUAUACUAAGUCUUUCAAUUAAUUGUUUUUUUCCUGGAAAGUUUGCAUAU